rnacentral:lncRNA from 1 species
AUUGAGAUAAGUUAUAAAUGAUUUAUCUGUGGAUUACCAUUAAGAAGAUGACAAAAAUAUUUGAUAUGAUGACUUUCAUCAGGUGAGAAAUUCCGAGGACAAAAUUUUCGUAAGGGAGAGAGUUGUAACAACCCGUUUUUCAGUGGUGUCAGAAACAGUGGUUUUGGGGCUACCAAAUCUGAUGAGUAAGUUUGUAAAUAUUAUUAUUUAAUAUUUACGAGUCAAAUGUGACUUUAAAAAGGCUUUUAAUUUGAUAAUUUAUGUUAUAUAAGCGAUUUAUAAAGUUCAAAUGGUAAGACCCUAAGGUCAAGUGGUUUUAGAAAAUGAGGAAUGUGGAUCACGUUUCUAUAAUUUGAGCCAUAAAUAUUUUUAUAAAUAUUCCCUGGUGCAUGAGUAGUGAAUAUUCUCUGUAGUUUUUAUUUUUGUAACCAAAGAAUAUAUUCUCUAAAAAGUUUCAAUUAUG